CUACUUCCAACUGCUGGAAAAACAAAGGGAGACGCCCAGGCUCUCCCCAGCCGGGCGCCCAGGCCGCCAAGAGGCCCCUGCCCCGCUCUGCAGCCCCAGGCUCUGUAGGCUGCGACAACAAGGAGCAUUGAAGAGGAGUCUCAGGGGAGGGCGCAGGGAGACCCGGCCCAGGGAGCCACGGGGAAGGGACGGACGGUCUGGGGACGGCUGGGAUCCAGCUCCGAGGAGGGGGAGGCGGGCUCCACGCGCCCUCGGAGUAGGUCUAAGCAGGACGGGGCUUCCCAGGAGUGCACAAGGGUGCGAGUUCUGAUGCCAGAGGCUGUGCGGGAGGGGAGGGCAGGAGGGGGUGAUGGGCAUGAGCGUGGCCCCUCGGCCCCAACUUUGGGGGCAUCUUCCUGACUUUGGGGGCAUUGGCCCCCGCCCAGCCCAUGCCCGUGCCAUGCCUGCUGCCCAACUGUCCGUCCCCAGGCCUGCGUCUCCUCUGCUGUCCACGUCCUCUCUUCAAGAAUCAAGCGGGGCACUAUGUUCCAGGGAAGCUCCGUCCCCCAGCUGAAUGGCGCUCCGGACAGCUCCACACAAUCCCCUCUCUGUGGGAGCCUCUGUGUAGAGGCUUCCCCUUCCCACUGGACAUCAGCGCCGGGAGGUGCUGAUCUCCAAGGUCCCAGCAGGAGCCCAGAGGUGGUCCUGAGCCCAGGCCUCCUGCUCCCGACACAGCUGGACGGUUCUGAACCCAGGUCUCCCACUCGUGACACAACUGGACACGCUCCCUGAACUGGACGCGCUGCCUGACCUUUUUUCCCCAGUGCUUUGCAGUCUUGGGGGAGGAAAGUAAAACUCUAGCCUCCUUCUCACACGUGUGUGCUUUGGGGCUGCUCUCAGAUGGCCCUAUGUUUGUUUUGAGCAAGGCGAGGUCCAACUUCCUGGAGGCCGAUCAUUUCUCCUGGGGGAAGGGAGGAACUGACUUAUGUUCAAAAAUUGUGCACAAAUUCCCGCGGCGAAAGGCCCCUUGCCUGCAUACCCUUGGCUCCCAGCAGGCAGCACGGGCCACUUCAUGGGGCUUUCUCCCUCACAUGAAGGGGAGAUGGAGGAGCUGGCUCGGGCCCAGCCUUGCCAGCCCCAGCUGAACCACUUCAGAGAGCCAUUAACCUCUGCAAAACGGAGUGGACAACUUCCACGUGGCUUUCUGUAGAAAUCAGAUGGGACUGCAAGCAAUGGCACGGCCCCUGCCAAGGUGGAUCUUGGUAAGGAGGAGGGAAGGUCGCUGGGCAUCAUUUCUGUCAGGGGCGGCCGAUUGGGGAGCAGUUCUGGACAGACCCUGCCCUCCUCUCCCCAUCGUGCAGGACAGACAAGAGCCUGGGUAUCAUCUCCAGGUGGUUCCAGGGCUGUGGCUUCGGGAGGCCGAGCCCCAUGGCUCUGCCCUCUGCUGAGAAGAUCCCCUCUGAACACAGUCUUACAGGAACCUCCCCCAGGCCCACAGCCCCGAGGUGCCUCCCUCGCCCUGGGAGAGUCUGGCAUGGUUUGCGGUGGGAAAAGCAACCCCUGGAUUUUCCUGUAGGAGCCUCCAGAAGAGACAUGGGCAGAGACCUCCCUGGUCUUCCUGCAGCUCCUGCCCUGGAACCUGAGUCUCCCAGGCAUCUGACCAGCUGCACUCCACCACCAGAAGCCGGUUACCACCGUCCUUCGGGCUUUGUCCUGGAGGGUGCGGGGCUGGUGUGGACCACUCAGUCUGGCAGUGACCACCACCCAGUCAGAGGCACGGCAGAACGCACCUGCUGCACGGACGCUGUUUGAACUUCUUCAAAACGUGGUGCAGUGUUUCCUGAAGACAUUUACCAUCCUUGGCAGUUAAAUACAGCACAGUGUCAAUUACAGGUCCAUCUUCUGUAAGUCUGGGACAGAUUCACAGUAUCUGUGUUUGCACGAGGCUGGGGUUCCGGGUGAGUGGACCGGCUGGAUGGCCCUGCCCAGCCACCCUGACGAGGGCUUUUUAUCUAACCCUGCCCCACCCAGUCCCCGGGGAAUUCCUAAUCAGAUGUGUUCAAAAACUGCUGAACCAAAUAAGGGUCACUUUACUUCCAACAUAAUUUCUAUUUUAAAUGAAUCGUCUACUCUCUCUUGGGAGGCAGAGGUGUUGACUUCUCGGGCAACAGUAUGAACCGGGUGGCUCUAGAACAUUCUGGACCUCAUGGGGGCUCCAGAUCUGUCAGAGAGACCCCUCGGUAAGGAGGAAGGAAGGUAAUGGGGGGUGGAGGGGAGAGCCAUUUGGAGCAGUUGAAGAGCUCCCUCUGCAUUCCAGGGACUCAGGGUGAGGAACUGCCCAUGGUGAGACCACUCCCUGCAGCCCAUCUGCCUGGCCGGCCAUGUGUGCCCCUCUAGAAGGUUCUAGAAAGUUCUGGAAGGCUCAGGCCUCCCAAGGGCCCAAGGUAGUGCUCUGACCAGGCCCAGGUCCCCUGUCCCAUCCACCCUCCACCCAGCAGGCUCCGCUCCUCUGCUCACCGGACACAGAAUCAGUUGGGCAGGGACCACAUCCAGGUCCUGACACUUCGUAAACAUCAUCCAGAUAAUAACACGCUGGAAUGGCAGAGUUUUCCUCUCCGUGGCACCGCCGUGUAACCCUUCAUCCUGGUUCCAAAUUUGCCUGUGCAGCCCUGAAUGCAGACUGCAAACCCCAAACUCAGAUAAAUACGUCUAAACCUUUAAAAAGUGCCCC
rnacentral:lncRNA from 10 species